rnacentral:lncRNA from 1 species
CAAACACCGACCCUUGGGUUUCUUAGCCUCUAGUGCACCGACGCCGCAGCCAUGAAGACCGGUGGCCGACGACGGAGGAAAAGAGGUCAAAGACCUCGGCCUUAGAAGACCCCGAGGGCUGAACCCUUCAACCUUAAACAAGAAAAGAGGAAGAUUCUCAGCACCCUCUAGAUCCGGCGGUCGCAAAGGAGGAGAACCCUCCGUGAGCCGGAUCCCGGCACUUCCUCGGUAAGUCCCCUCUCCCCUUUUUAUUUUCACAUUUUCUUUGUAAAAAUUUCGUAAAAAAAUGCGUAGAUAAAUAAAUGAAAUAAAUAAAUGAUAGAUGAUAAGAAACGAAAUCAGAAAAACUAAAGAAAACAAUCAGAUUUCUAUCAACCUUUUAGAAUCUCAGUUCUGUAUUUCUUGAUUCACUGAUGUGUGUUCGUAAAAAAAAACAACGGUGAGAUUCGGGCUUUUAUAGCCGAAUCAAAAUGAUUUUUUCUUCUUUAUUAUCUGUUAACUAUUAUUAUUGCUCGCGUGCUUCCUUUUUGCCAUUAUAUUUAAUUUUCGCAGGUGUCAGACGCGUGGACGACCGGUGGUAGGCGAGCCUUGGGCGGCGGCGGCGUGUGAGGAGCUGGAGCGGCGCACCUGGCAGAGGUGUGCAUGCGGCUAGGGCUGGGUUUUUUUGCUGAAACAAAUUUUAAUUUACUGGGCUUUGGGCUGUAAUUUUUGGGUUAUUUUCAUUUGUUUUGGGUCUUUAGGCCUGGGUCAAAAUUGACCUGUUACACGUUUAACUCGAAAUUCGAAUUUUUUUUCGAUUUUUUCGAGUCGAAUCGAUUUUUGCUCACCCCUAGUUUAAACUGGAGAACCUUUUCCUCCUAUAUCAGUUAAUAUUAUUACAUUCCAAUUCCUUACUGAUAUUUUUAAGGAAAAUCUCGUAUUGAAUCCUAAAUUGACGGGUUAGUGUGAGCUUAUCUAUGUAGUUAUGCACUCUUCUAAUAGGAAUCUAUUUUCUGAAAGAUCCUAGCUUUCGUACUUUGGUGAGUCUUCGAGAUCCUUUCAACGACCUAUGUUGUGUUGAAAGGAUAUCUAUAUGAUCUGAUCAAUUGCGUAAAGCCUGCGGUAGUAACGGAACCAGGGAAAGUAUACAGGAAAGGCAGUUCUUUUCUUUCUAUUAUAUUAGUAUUUUUUAUUCUAUUUUUUCUAUUCUAUUAGUAUUAGAUUAGUUAAGAAAAUAAUAUUUGGAGUUUCGCUUAGUGAAUUGUUUCAUUUCAUAAAUGUUCAAAUUAUUUAUUGGUUAAAG